rnacentral:piRNA from 1 species
UGAGCUUGUAAGCCACCAUUUGUUGUCAC